UACGGAGGAUCCGAGCGUUAUCCGGAUUUAUUGGGUUUAAAGGGUGCGCAGGCGGGAUGUUAAGUCUGAUGUGAAAUCUCACAGCUUAACUGUGAGCGUUCAUUGGAAACUGAGGAACUUGAGUAUAGAAGAGAAGAGUGGAAUUCCAAGUGUAGCGGUGAAAUGCGUAGAGAUUUGGAGGAACACCAGUGGCGAAGGCGACUUUCUGGACUGCAACUGACGCUGAGGCGCGAAAGACGUGGGGAGGCAAACAGGAUUAGAUA
rnacentral:rRNA from 1 species